AUACAAGCACACCAGGUCUGGUAUAACUGUGCAGCCUCUUGCCUCCACAGCAUCCAUCUCCCUCGGGCAGCAGAUGGAUCUGGGCAUUCCAUUCCUCCCAUGCUGUUCCACAGGGAUUCUUCCCUGGCUCAGCUGUGGUUUUGAGGCGCAUUUUGCCAAAAGGUUCCUUUUGCUUGACUUCAAUACAAGAGGAGGUGGCAACUGACAGCAGGAUGUGGUGUUUGUUAAACACUGAGCUCAAAUAACAAAUAUUGGACUCAGCAGUGUUUUGUCGUGGUUACAAGAAGAAGGAAAGAUGUGAAAAGAAGUUCUCUUGACCUAUUUGGUAAAUUGUCCUUUUUUUAACCUCCUUUCACGGAGAAAAUGUGUUUGCCUUGA